rnacentral:rRNA from 1 species
GACGAACGCUGGCGGCGUGCUUAACACAUGCAAGUCGAGCGGUAAGGCCCUUUCGGGGGUACACGAGCGGCGAACGGGUGAGUAACACGUGGGUGACCUGCCCUCAGCUCUGGGAUAAGCCUGGGAAACCGGGUCUAAUACUGGAUAUGACCCCAUGACGCAUGUUGUGGGGUGGAAAGCCUUGUGCGGCUGAGGAUGGGCCCGCGGCCUAUCAGCUUGUUGGUGGGGUGAUGGCCUACCAAGGCGACGACGGGUAGCCGGCCUGAGAGGGCGACCGGCCACACUGGGACUGAGACACGGCCCAGACUCCUACGGGAGGCAGCGAGGUGGGGAAUCUUGCGCAAGUGGGACGAAAGCCUGACGCAGCGACGCCGCGU